GCUCGCUGAUUUCCACAUGAACUGCCAAAUGACAUCUCACACUGCCACCAGCUGCCCCCAUGAUAACUACCACGGCUGCCUCGUGUCCUACGUCGGCCUCAUUGGCUCAGAUGUAACGCCGAACUACAGCGACAGCAGUCCUUCCAACAUCACCAUCAGCCUGUGGUGCACCUGCAGGGGCACCGGCAAUCAGGAGCCAGAGUGUGACGCUUUCCACCGGGACUUCACACACAACACUUGCCUCAGAAAUGCCAUCCAGUCGUUUGGUUACGGCUCAGAAGGAGGGACUCUUCUUGUAACCGAGCCAUCGUCCACCUUCUUGCCCCCACCUCAGCCGCCAGUCAUCUCUAAACCCGCUCCCUCUCUACACGGCAACGCAAUCAAGCCCAUGGACAGUGCUUGUAUGUUUUCCACUUGUGCCAACCUGCAGGAUGGAGGCCAAAAGUGCAUCCCCUCUGAUGAGUUUGAGUGCGAGGAGGCUCUGUUGGCCCAGGGGUCAAUGGACUCUCAGGACUCUGCAGGGCCCAAGAGCAGCAGCCGGCAAUCAGCUCCACUCCUCCGCCACAUCUCUGUGACUGUGUGUGUGUCCGUCCUGCCAACGUUUCUACUCUUCGUCUCAUAAAUACGAACUCGCACAUACACACCGCACAAACACCCACACACUUAACAUUCACACACACACACACACACACACACACACACACACUCCCAUAAUUGGCAAGACCCAGAGAAAGUCACGUGACUCGGCGCCCUUCACUGUAUGAGAAAAUGUCAACAAACAGACAUCCAAACAUCAACAACGGUCUUUUGAGGAGGAAAAGUGUUCAGGAGGACUUUUCAGAUUAGCCGUCUCUCUCCACCACACUCACACACACACACACACACACACACACACACACAUCGAUGAUAAAGAAGAAGAAACUGGACUGUGUUUAUUGAGGACGAGAAACAACAAAGGCAGAGACGGAGAGACUCUUGGGAUUUUGGAUCACAGUGACUUCAUUUCCAGUGCUCCGUGUCUGCAGGGUUUGUGUGCUUUUUGUGGAGCCCGGCUCUGACUCAUUCCCUCCAGCUUUUUUGGAUCUGAGACAGCUGGGCUGAAAACACACACACACACACACACACACACACACACACACACACACACACACAAUCGGACAGCAAGUCUUAAAAUCUGCAGCGUGAGAGAGAGAGAGAGAGAGAGAGAGACGACUGGCUUUCUGGGCUGGACAGAUGAAGCUACCAGGAUGUGGAACAUGAACAUGAAGGCCUGUUCAAGACGACCACCAGAUCAGUGUCGCCGUGGGUCGUCGCCUCCUGCCCUCCGUCAGCUGGAAGUAACAGAGAGAUCAGUUUCUGUGAUUAUGGUGUGGCCUUACUUUACUGUUCUUUCUUACAUACUUGAAAGAGGGAGAAUGAUUAAUAUUGCCCUGCUAGCGGUCGGGAAAAGGGAAUUACAAUGUCCACCACUUUU